rnacentral:tmRNA from 1 species
GGGGGCGAAGAGGAUUCGACGGGGAACGGGAUAGCUCAAGCUGCAUGCCGAGUUUCUGCUAACUCGUAAAACUGGCAGAGCACAUAGAAGUGCCGAACCAAUCAAUGCACUCGCUGCUUAAUUAAAGCAGCGACGUCUCUAAAAACCUCGCCCGUUGGGUUUUUACGAGGCGUCAGCUAGACGGGCUGGUCUUCAGGUGGUGCUUGGGACACCUGGGACGAGACUUGCUCCCAAGCUGGCAGUGAAAAUCCUGUCCAUCGGAGUUUUCACUGCGAGAUCUAAAAGAUGGACUAAGCAUGUAGAGGCUGGGUAAAGCCCUUCUCCGGACCUGGGUUCGAUUCCCAGCGCCUCCACCA